rnacentral:rRNA from 1 species
CAAUAGCGUAUAUUAAAGUUGUUGCGGUUAAAACGCUCGUAGUUUGAAAUCUGUUAAGGACGAUCUGUCUGCCCUCUGGGUGUGUAUUUGGUCUAGCCUUGGCAUUUCCUUGAACAAGACAACUGCACUUGAUUGUGUGGUGUUGAUUUCAAGGUGUUUACUUUGAGGAAAUCAGAGUGCUUCCAGCAGGUGUGCGCCUUGAAUACAUUAGCAUGGAAUAUCAUUAUAUGGUUUGGAUUUUUACUUGUUGGUUUUUAAAAAUUGAAGCAAUGAUAAAUAGGGAUAAUUGGGGGCACUUGUAUUUAAUUGUCAGAGGUGAAAUUCUUGGAUUUGUGAAAGACAAACUACUGCGAAAGCAUUUGCCAAAAAUGUUUNCAUUG